CGUGAAUUACGUUGGAAAGUCAGAGAGCUCUUCAACAUGAAAAGUUUCAUUAUUUGUAUUCUAUUGGUACUGGUGUUAGUUGGCCUGUCAAAGGCUGCCCAAUACUGUGUAUCAGGCGAUAUAGUUACAAAACUAUGUAAAGGCCUUUACUGUGACUGGUUGUGGAGUAUGUGCCCUGAAGGAUAUGAAAUAUGCCAUUACAAUCCAUACAACCGUUGCGGAUUGUGGUACCAGACCUGCUGCAGAGAAAUUGUAGAAUAUAACUAGCAGCACAGACAAAAUAGAUAUAAAAUUUGUAUAAAAGUAUAUUACCUACAUCUGUUUUAUAUACGUUCAAAGAAUGUACUUUAUUUCUACAAAAUUUAUAUUAAAAUAUGCCUAUUUAAUGUUAGUGUAAUACAUACAUAUUAAAUACGUAUUUUGUUUGAGAAGGUA